GGCAAGAUGUCCGAGCGGUUAAGGAGCUGCACUCAAGAUCACAAGACCUUGUCCAUUCCAAAUGGAUGUAUUGCAGUAUCGAAAGAUGCGUGGGUUCGAGUCCCACUCUUGUCA
rnacentral:tRNA from 1 species